GACGAACGCUGGCGGCGUGCCUAAUACAUGCAAGUUGAGCGCUGAAGGUUGGUACUUGUACCGACUGGAUGAGCAGCGCACGGGUGAGUAACGCGUGGGGAAUCUGCCUUUGAGCGGGGGACAACAUUUGGAAACGAAUGCUAAUACCGCAUAAAAACUUUAAACACAAGUUUUAAGUUUGAAAGAUGCAAUUGCAUCACUCAAAGAUGAUCCCGCGUUGUAUUAGCUAGUUGGUGAGGUAAAGGCUCACCAAGGCGAUGAUACAUAGCCGACCUGAGAGGGUGAUCGGCCACAUUGGGACUGAGACACGGCCCAAACUCCUACGGGAGGCAGCAGUAGGGAAUCUUCGGCAAUGGACGAAAGUCUGACCGAGCAACGCCGCGUGAGUGAAGAAGGUUUUCGGAUCGUAAAAAUCUGUUGGUAGAGAAGAACGUUGGUGAGAGUGGAAAGCUCAUCAAGUGACGGUAACUACCCAGAAAGGGACGGCUAACUACGUG
rnacentral:rRNA from 1 species